GGUUGUAGGUUCAGGGGUUAGACCUUAGGUCUCGCAACCGAAAGGUCGCGGGAUCGAAUUCCGCUAGAGGCU
rnacentral:tRNA from 1 species